UACGAAGGGUGCAAGCGUUAGUCGGAAUUACUGGGCGUAAAGGGUGCGUAGGCGGCGCGGUAAGUCGGGUGUGAAAUCUGGAGCUUAACUCCGAAACUGCAUUCGAUACUGCCGUGCUUGAGGACUGGAGAGGAGACUGGAAUUUACGGUGUAGCGGUGAAAUGCGUAGAUAUCGUAAGGAAGACCAGUGGCGAAGGCAGCUCGCUGGGACGGUACUGACGCUGAGGCGCGAAAGCGUGGGGGAGCAAACAGG
rnacentral:rRNA from 1 species